rnacentral:lncRNA from 1 species
CCCAGCAACAGCAGCAGCAGCUGCAAAAGUCUCUUGAGAAUUCAAGGCCGAGAGUUUCAAGUCCACCACAAGCCCAAGCCCCAGCCACUGCCCCAAAACCCAAGAAGCCUCCCACAAGCCAGGAUGCUGCAACACCACCAGAGUCUUCAGAACCACCAGCUAAGGGUUAUGACUACACGGGAGAUGAGUUCUCCAGCAGUGGAGAUGAUGACUCUCCUCGGGAAACCUUCCAGCAGAAAAGACAAUAUUUUCAGAAGAUGGGAGAGCAACACAUCCGAGUGAAGAAAGUCAGGCCUCCUACCAAAACCUGGACUCCACCAGCAAAUCCCCAGCCAGAGCAGGAGGAGGAGAUAAAACAGGAACAGCAGAGGAAAGAAGUGAAGCCUGUCCCCAAACCAGAGGCAGCUCCUGCUUCCCCUGUGCCAUCUCCUGAGCCAAAGCCAAUAAAGCAGACACCAAAAGUGAAGAAGGAGCCACCUGUAGUGAAGUCUUCAGGCCCGGAGUCACGUCCUGCACCGAGCCGCGAGAUUGGCAACAUCAUCAAAAUGUACCAGAGCCGACCAGCCCCUGAGCCCCAGCCCAUCGAGCCCGUAAGGUGAGAGGGACCCACCACGUGGGCUGGGAGGGGAUGAGUGGGACUGUGUCUCAGCACUGC